rnacentral:tmRNA from 1 species
CCCCUUCAAACCGCCGGUGGAACGUAUUAUAUUCCUCGUGUCCCGGAAACGGGACUAUGGCGAUAAACGCGCCCGUAAUAAGCGGAUCGGACCCGGGGGCGGUACCCGGCGGCUCCACCAGAAUACCCUCGUUGGGGGAUACAGGGGGCCGAAACAGGAUCGACGGACGUCUAAAGGGGUUGGCUUUCGCUCGGUGAGAUACCACCGUUAUCGGUUCACAUAGUAUAGUUGCCAACGACAACUACGCUCCGGUUCGCGUCGCUGCGUAAUGCAGUGACAAAGACCGACUUCUGAAGUCCAGGAUCCUAGCAGGUUCUGGCGGGGUUCGCAGGCACCUGGCAACAGAAGCCUGCACU